CCUACGGGUGGCAGCAGUGGGGAAUAUUGGGCAAUGGGCGCAAGCCUGACCCAGCAACGCCGCGUGAAGGAAGAAGGCUUUCGGGUUGUAAACUUCUUUUCUCAGGGACGAAGCAAGUGACGGUACCUGAGGAAUAAGCCACGGCUAACUACGUGCCAGCAGCCGCGGUAAUACGUAGGUGGCAAGCGUUAUCCGGAUUUACUGGGUGUAAAUGGCGUGUAGGCGGGACUGCAAGUCAGAUGUGAAAACCACGGGCUCAACCUGUGGCCUGCAUUUGAAACUGUAGUUCUUGAGUACUGGAGAGGCAGACGGAAUUCCUAGUGUAGCGGUGAAAUGCGUAGAUAUUAGGAGGAACACCAGUGGCGAAGGCGGCUUACUGGACUGUAACUGACGUUGAGGCUCGAAAGCGUGGGGAGCAAACAGGAUUAGAUACCCGAGUAGUC
rnacentral:rRNA from 1 species